GCGAGCGGGAAGAGCUCAAAUUUAUAAUCUGGCACCUUCGGUGUCCGAGUUGUAAUCUCUAGAAGUGUUUUCCGCGUUGGACCGCACACAAGUCUGUUGGAAUACAGCGGCAUAGUGGUGAAACCCCCGUAUAUGGUGCGGACGCCCAGCGCUUUGUGAUACACUUUCAAUGAGUCGAGUUGUUUGGGAAUGCAGCUCAAAUUGGGUGGUAAAUUCCAUCUAAAGCUAAAUAUUGGCGAGAGACCGAUAGCGAACAAGUACCGUGAGGGAAAGAUGAAAAGCACUUUGGAAAGAGAGUUAACAGUACGUGAAAUUGUUGGAAGGGAAACGCUUGAAGUCAGACUUGCUUGCCGGAGCUUGCUUCGGUUUGCAGGCCAGCAUCAGUUUUCCGGGGUGGAUAAUGACGGUUUGAAGGUAGCAGUCUCGGCUGUGUUAUAGCUUUCCGUUGGAUACAUCCUGGGGGACUGAGGAACGCAGCGUGCUUUUUGCGAAAGACUCGUCUUUUUCACGCUUAGGAUGCUGGUGGAAUGGCUUUAAACGACCCGUCUUA
rnacentral:rRNA from 1 species